rnacentral:rRNA from 1 species
GUGGGGAAUUUUGGACAAUGGGCGCAAGCCUGAUCCAGCAAUGCCGCGUGCAGGAAGAAGGCCUUCGGGUUGUAAACUGCUUUUGUACGGAACGAAACGGUCCUGGUUAAUACAUGGGGCUAAUGACGGUACCGUAAGAAUAAGCACCGGCUAACUACGUGCCAGCAGCCGCGGUAAUACGUAGGGUGCGAGCGUGAAUCGGAAUUACUGGGCGUAAAGCGUGCGCAGGCGGUGCUGUAAGACAGGCGUGAAAUCCCCGGGCUCAACCUGGGAAAUGCGCUUGUGACUGCAGUGCUGGAGUACGGCAGAGGGGGAUGGAAUUCCGCGUGUAGCAGUGAAAUGCGUAGAUAUGCGGAGGAACACCGAUGGCGAAGGCAGUCCCCUGGGCCUGUACUGACGCUCAUGCACGAAAGCGUGGGGAGCAAACAGGAUUAGAUACCCGUGUAGUCC